GGGGAAUAUUGCACAAUGGGCGCAAGCCUGAUGCAGCGACGCCGCGUGCGGGAUGACGGCCUUCGGGUUGUAAACCGCUUUUGACUGGGAGCAAGCCCUUCGGGGUGAGUGUACCUUUCGAAUAAGCACCGGCUAACUACGUGCCAGCAGCCGCGGUAAUACGUAGGGUGCAAGCGUUAUCCGGAAUUAUUGGGCGUAAAGGGCUCGUAGGCGGUUCGUCGCGUCCGGUGUGAAAGUCCAUCGCUUAACGGUGGAUCCGCGCCGGGUACGGGCGGGCUUGAGUGCGGUAGGGGAGACUGGAAUUCCCGGUGUAACGGUGGAAUGUGUAGAUAUCGGGAAGAACACCAAUGGCGAAGGCAGGUCUCUGGGCCGUCACUGACGCUGAGGAGCGAAAGCGUGGGGAGCGAAC
rnacentral:rRNA from 1 species